rnacentral:rRNA from 1 species
AUGUUGUCUAUCAAACUUAGAUGGCACAGAACAAAGAAGAGCAUCUACAGCAAUCAGAGCCACCAUAGUUGGAUAAUUGGGCAUCCAAAAUCGGCAAAAUUCAUGCCCAGGACGCGGCGAAACAGGGCGCUGCCAGCAAGUAGAUCUCUUCCUGUCAGAGGAACAGUACCUGAUCAAGAACGGGAGAAGGAAGCGCCGCGAAUCCCGCGGAGCGCCAUAGAAAUCGAUCGGGAUCGAUCCCGUGAAGCGAGCGGGCGCCGAUUUGGUGCGCGUCUGGCCGCCUUGCAAGCUCGCUCUUGGUAG